rnacentral:rRNA from 1 species
UACGUAGGGGGCAAGCGUUGUCCGGAAUCAUUGGGCGUAAAGAGCGUGUAGGCGGUCCGGUAAGGCGGCUGGGAAAGUCCAGGGCUCAACCCUGGGAUGCCGGUCGAUACUGCCGGACUAGAGUUCGGAAGAGGCGAGUGGAAUUCCCGGUGUAGCGGUGAAAUGCGCAGAUAUCGGGAGGAACACCUGAGGUGAAGACGGGUUGCUGGGCUGACACUGACGCUGAGGCGCGAAAGCCAGGGGAGCAAACGGG